AGGCAAGGCGCGGUCUUGGUAGUUUGGAGUUUGCUCCGCGGUGUCCUCCCAAGGCCACCCACCACUGCUUUGGGAGGAGGGACGCAUGGCUCCGCAGGCUCUCACCUGCUACUGAAGGGGGUGAGAGGUCCAGUCCUUGUGUCGAUUAUGAGCUCCAUAAUGGCAGCCACUGAAUCCGGAGGGCGAGGGAGGAGGCUGUGCCCGCCGGGGUGCUGUACACGGAGUUAAGUCCCGAUCUUGCCAGGGUCCAGCUUAUGAGGUCCAGUAUUGGGGUCAAAUCCUGAACCUUGACUCCCAGGGGCGCACGCAAAGACCACCACCCGCUGUCGGUGCAGCCGAGAGACUAGGCUGUGCCCACCCGCAAGGCGAGCGCUGGGCGCCGCGCAGAGACACAGCGCCGCGUCCCAGCCAGCGGGACAUCGCACGGUUGGAUCUGCGGCCAGACAACCCGCGGCCCUCCAGCCGGUCUCCCGCAAGGGAACAAAGUGUUUCCGCAAGACAACUUCCCAGAGCUUCCAGGCCCACCCGUCCAGGCCCCAGAUCCCGGGGCCCUGCGUGCCCCUCUCACCGGCCGCCUGGGGCCGAGCGCGGGACACACCCUGGGCCGGACCCGUGCUCAGACGGAACCUGAGUGCGUGGGACUUGAGGAAGCCGGAAGGAUUAAUGGCAAACCCUUGCGUUGCCCCAUUGCUCCAGCGCUCACCAAGUU